ACAACAACAAAAAUGAUUCUUCAGUGGACUCUGAGUCAAAGGAAAAGAAAUAUUAGAAAAGCUGAAAACUAAGAUAUGGUCUUCAAAUUUUGGCUUUAUUGAUCAUAAAAGACACAAAGAAGCUUAAUCUUGGGCAUUGUGACAGCUCAGAAGAACAGCUAGUGUGCACAACAGGUCUAUAAAGAGGGGAAUGUUGGUAAUACCCAACAGGGGAAAUGGUUGGAUCACAUGACAAGUGUAUGCUUAACAUUUUAAGAAAUUAUCAAACUCUUCUCCAAAGUGUUUUUAUCAUUUUACAUUUCUAGGGAGUUCCAUUUUCUUCACAUCCUUGCCAAUGCAGGUUGUAAGAAACCAGAAGAAAACACAACUUAAUGUACUUUAACUCCAAGCAAGAUCACUUCAGAGAAAUUUCUCAUAACAGCAAUCCAGAGGCCGGAAAAGGUCCAAUGUGAAAAAAUAUGCUAAAAAGUGGGUGACAAAUGGCCAGCUUCUGCCUCCAG
ensembl:lncRNA